rnacentral:rRNA from 1 species
GACGAACGCUGGCGGCGUGCUUAACACAUGCAAGUCGAACGGAAAGGCCCUGCUUUUGUGGGGUGCUCGAGUGGCGAACGGGUGAGUAACACGUGAGUAACCUGCCCUUGACUUUGGGAUAACUUCAGGAAACUGGGGCUAAUACCGGAUAGGAGCUCCUGCUGCAUGGUGGGGGUUGGAAAGUUUCGGCGGUUGGGGAUGGACUCGCGGCUUAUCAGCUUGUUGGUGGGGUAGUGGCUUACCAAGGCUUUGACGGGUAGCCGGCCUGAGAGGGUGACCGGCCACAAUGGGACUGAGAAACGGCCCAGACUCCUACGGGAGGCAGCAGUGGGGAAUAUUGCACAAUGGGCGGAAGCCUGAUGCAGCAACGCCGCGUGCGGGAUGACGGCCUUCGGGUUGUAAACCGCUUUCGCCUGUGACGAAGCGUGAGUGACGGUAAUGGGUAAAGAAGCACCGGCUAACUACGUG